rnacentral:rRNA from 1 species
UACAGAGGGUGCGAGCGUUAAUCGGAAUUACUGGGCGUAAAGCGUGCGUAGACGGCUAUCUAAGUCGGGUGUGAAAGCCCCGGGCUCAACCUGGGAAUUGCAUUCGAGACUGAAUAGCUAGGGUACGGUAGAGGGAAGUGGAAUUUCCGGUGUAGCGGUGAAAUGCGUAGAUAUCGGGAGGAACACCUGUGGCGAAAGCGGCGCACUGGACCACAUCUGACGCUGAGGCGCGAAAGCUAGGGGGAGCAAACAGG